rnacentral:rRNA from 1 species
AGUAGGGAAUUGUUCGCAAUGGGCGCAAGCCUGACGACGCAACGCCGCGUGGAGGAUGAAGGGCUUCGGCUCGUAAACUCCUUUCGACCGAGAUGAAUACCCACAGGGCUAAUAUCCCUGUGGACUGACAGUAUCGAGGGAAGAAGCCCCGGCUAACUCCGUGCCAGCAGCCGCGGUAAUACGGGGGGGGCAAGCGUUGUUCGGAAUUACUGGGCGUAAAGGGUUCGUAGGUGGUCAACUAAGUCAUACGUGAAAUCCCUCAGCUUAACUGGGGAACUGCGUCUGAUACUGGUUGACUUGAGUGCAGGAGAGGAACGCGGAAUUCCAGGUGUAGCGGUGAAAUGCGUAGAUAUCUGGAGGAACACCGGUGGCGAAGGCGGCGUUCUGGACUGUAACUGACACUGAGGAACGAAAGCCAGGGGAGCAAA